rnacentral:misc_RNA from 1 species
UUUUAAAAAUAUUUAUUAUAAAAAACAAACAAUUUGUUAGUUAUAAAGUCAGUAUUGUUGUUUAAAUUAUGGAUGUGAAAGAUAAAAAAUAUAAUCAUAGAUCAAAAUGUGCAUCAUUGGAAUAUUCAAAUCAUGAAAAUAAUAAUUCACCACCAGUAAGUAAAGAAUCAUCGCCUGAGUAUAGAAGAAGAUCAUCACCAUCUAGAAAACGAUGUUAUUCACCAGACUACGACAAAAGAGAAUUUACUGGUCAAACAUACUGGGAAAAUAAUAGACGUAAAAGUCGUCGUUAUUCAGACGAUGAUACUGAUAAUAAUGUGAUUGGUGAACGUUUUUAUGGUGGUGAAAGUAAACAAUCAUCUCGUGAUGAUGAACAUGACAGAGAAUCAGAAAAUAAAGAUCCAUCAGUAAUUCCACAUUCUCAAAAACAAACUGUUGAUUUACUGACAUCAAAAACAGGUGGUGCAUAUAUUCCACCAGCUAAACUACGACUUAUGCAAUCACAGAUCGAUGACAAAAGUGGUGCAGCUUUCCAGAGAAUAUCUUGGGAAGCAUUAAAAAAAUCUAUCCAUGGUCAUAUUAACAAGGUGAAUACAAGUAACAUUGGGUUAAUUGUUCGAGAACUUUUUCGAGAAAAUAUCAUUCGUGGAUGUGGCUUGUUGACUCGUUCAAUAAUACAAGCACAAGCAGCUUCACCAACAUUCACUCCGAUAUAUGCAGCUCUAGUUUCUGUUAUAAAUUCAAAAUUUCCUGAUAUUGGAGAAUUAUUAUUGUCAAGACUAGUCAAACAAUUUCAACGAGCAUUUAAACUCAAAAAUAAACCUCUUUGUAUUUCAUCGUCAACAUUUAUAGCACAUUUAGUUAAUCAAAAAGUUGCUGAUGAAGGAAUUGCACUUGAAUUAUUGAUAUUACUUCUUCAUACACCAACAGAUGAUUCAAUUGAAGUUGCAAUUUCAUUUUUAAAAGAAUGUGGUAUGAGAUUAACUGAAGUUUCAAAACCAAGUGAUGUUGAUAUGUUAAAUGUCAUUUUUGAUAUGUUAAAAGAUAUUCUUCAUAAAGGUAAUCUUGAUAAAAGAGUCCAGUACAUGAUUGAAGUUAUCUUUGCAGUAAGAAAAGAUGGAUUUAAAGAUCACGAAGCUGUUCCUGAAGGAUUGGAUCUUAUUGAGGAAAAAGAUCAAAUAACUCAUUCAAUAGAAUUAAAUGAUAAAGCAGAUUCACAAGAUAUUUUAAAUGUAUUUGAAUUUGAUCCUGAUUAUGUUAAAAAUGAAGAUGAAUACAAAAAAUUGUCAAAAGAAUUUUUAGGCUCGGAUGAUGAGUCAGGAAGUGGUGGAGAUGAUGAUGAUGAUGACAAUGACGAAGAUUCAGAUGCUGAAAAUUCUGAUGAAGAAAAUAAAAAUAAAAAUGGUGUUAUUAUUGACAGUACUGAGACAAAUUUACAGGCAUUAAGAAGAACAAUUUAUUUAACAAUUCGCUCAUCUGUAUCACCUGAUGAAUGUACUCAUAAACUUUUAAAAAUGCAAAUGAAACCAGGCCAUGAAAUUGAACUUUGUCAUAUGAUUCUUGAUUGUUGUGCUGAAAUGAGAACUUAUGAAAAAUUUUUUAGUCUUCUUGCUAGGCGUUUUUGUGCUAUCAAUAAAAUUUAUAUAAGUCCAUUUGAACAAAUAUUUAAAAGUUCAUACGAAACAAUUCAUCGAUUUGAUAUGAAUAAAUUACGCAAUGUAUCAAAAUUUUUUGCUCAUUUAUUAUAUACAGAUUCAAUUAGUUGGGGUGUUUUAAAUUGUAUUAAAUUAAAUGAAAAAGAUACAACCAGUUCAAGUAGAAUAUUCAUCAAAAUUUUAUUUCAAGAAUUAUCUGAAAUAAUGGAACUUUCAAAGCUCAAUGCAAGAGUUAAAGAUGUCACUUUACAAGAUGCAUUUGAUGGAUUAUUUCCUCGUGAUGAUCCUAAAAAUACAAAAUUUGCUAUCAACUUUUUCACAUCAAUUGGUCUAGGAGGAUUGACUGAUGAUCUUCGAGAGCAUCUCAAGACAAGACCAAAAACUGUUAUCCAGCCUGUUGAUACCAAAAUCAAAGCAUCAUCUAGCUCUCCAUCAUCAUCAUCUUCUGAUAGUUCAGAUUCAUCAUCAUCACCAUCAUCGUCGUCGUCUUCUGAUGAUAAUCGCAAGAAAAAAAAGACAAAAAGGAAGUCAACAAAAAGAUUAUCCCAUAAGAAAAAAUAAAAAAAUAAAAGUAAAUAUAAAAACAAACAACAUGGUAAUUAAUUUUACCAAGGCCACCAGAGAUUUUAGCUUGUUAAUCCAUAUACCUACAUUAUUUGUACAAUCAUAAAAUAUCAAAAAUGAUUCGUGUGUGUGUUAAGUUGACGUGACCCUAGACAAAAAAAAGAAAACAAUAUCUACAUUGCCAA